CCUCCCAUCAAGCACCACCUCCCAUCAAACACCACCUCCCUACGCUAUUGCAUUGGGGAUUCAGCUCCCAACACAUGAAUUUGGAGGGAACAAAAACACUCAAACCACAACAUUAAGGAUGGCUGAGCAGAAAGACAAAUGAGGUCAGAUCCCUAACAGCACUGAGGAGCUAAUGACCAGCCUGGGGCUUUCUUCUCCUAGGAUUUUUGUUACAUGAGGAGCAUAAACCUGUUUACUUGUCCAGUCUGGUGGUGGUGAGAAGAUACCGCACUGAAGUUUUAGAUGUACUCUUUUUAAAGAAAAGAUUGUGUGAGAUGGCUCUUACUGUCAGUGGUACUACUACUACCUCAUCUAUAUGGUACUGAAGAAACCAAGUUAAUUUAAAUUUCUUAAAUAGCUCUCCACUACUUUGAGGUUGUGCUAAAACUCUAUACACUUCAUGUUACGAUGACCACAUAAAUUGCCUUUUCUCUUGAAGAAUGGAUGGAUAUAAAUAAGCAGAUUGGCCAUUUUGGCACAUUAUCAGCAGCUAAGCCAGGAUGGUCAGGAGAAGCUUCUUGGAAGAGGCAAUGUUUGAACCCCAUCUUGAAGGUUGAAUCAGGCAGUGUGUCGGGGAAUGUAAUUCUAGAGAGGACAGCACAAAGGAAGGACUAAAUCUGGAAAAAAAUGGGAGCAGCAGAAGCUCAGUGUGACUGAAGUGAUUGCACCUGGUGGUUGUCAUAACAUAUGAAUAACAAAUGUUUGUUUAAUGAAUGACAGUGAACAAAUAAAUGUAUUAAUAUGGGAUAUUUGGCAAUAGGAGCAAAUGUAAAGACUUACAGGGAUUUUUAAUAAUAAUAAUGAUAAUAAAAUAUUCAAUGUCUCUUUUUGCUCAACUGGUUUAAGCAAAGAGUUGAUUCUGGAAAGCAAAAUACAUUCUGUUCAAUCCCAGUGUUAACAUAAUUUUAAGAGAUGCUUCAGGCUUAUGCAGAGUUCACUUCCUUUCAUUGUAACACUUACUCAGUGGGACGUCAGGAAACUGAUUAAAGCAUUUGACUCAC